AGUGAACGCUGGCGGUAGGCCUAACACAUGCAAGUCGAACGGCAGCACAGUAAGAGCUUGCUCUUACGGGUGGCGAGUGGCGGACGGGUGAGGAAUACAUCGGAAUCUACUUUUUCGUGGGGGAUAACGUAGGGAAACUUACGCUAAUACCGCAUACGACCUACGGGUGAAAGCAGGGGAUCUUCGGACCUUGCGCGAUUGAAUGAGCCGAUGUCGGAUUAGCUAGUUGGCGGGGUAAAGGCCCACCAAGGCGACGAUCCGUAGCUGGUCUGAGAGGAUGAUCAGCCACACUGGAACUGAGACACGGUCCAGACUCCUACGGGAGGCAGCAGUGGGGAAUAUUGGACAAUGGGCGCAGGCCUGAUCCAGCCAUACCGCGUGGGUGAAGAAGGCCUUCGGGUUGUAAAGCCCUUUUGUUGGGAAAGAAAAGCAGCAGGUUAAUACCCCGCUGUUCUGACGGUACCAAAAGAAUAAGCACCGGCUAACUUCGUG
rnacentral:rRNA from 1 species